rnacentral:rRNA from 1 species
GAUGAACGCUGGCGGCGUGCCUAAUACAUGCAAGUCGAGCGAACAGACGAGGAGCUUGCUCCUCUGACGUUAGCGGCGGACGGGUGAGUAACACGUGGAUAACCUACCUAUAAGACUGGGAUAACUUCGGGAAACCGGAGCUAAUACCGGAUAAUAUAUUGAACCGCAUGGUUCAAUAGUGAAAGACGGUUUUGCUGUCACUUAUAGAUGGAUCCGCGCCGCAUUAGCUAGUUGGUAAGGUAACGGCUUACCAAGGCAACGAUGCGUAGCCGACCUGAGAGGAUGAUCGGCCACACUGGAACUGAGACACGGUCCAGACUCCUACGGGAGGCAGCAGUAGGGAAUCUUCCGCAAUGGGCGAAAGCCUGACGGAGCAACGCCGCGUGAGUGAUGAAGGUCUUCGGAUCGUAAAACUCUGUUAUUAGGGAAGAAAAAAUGUGUAAGUAACUAUGCACGUCUUGACGGUACCUAAUCAGAAAGCCACGGCUAACUACGUG